rnacentral:lncRNA from 1 species
GAUGUUUAAAAUUUUAUUCAAAUCUGAAUCCAAAUAGGACGGAUUUAAUUGAUGCUAAAUAGGUAUAGUUUUGCUAAUGGGUAUUAAAAUUAAAAAUCCAAUAUAUAGAAAUUUAAAUUAAUUUUAAAAUUUAGAUUUGAGUAUAAUAUGUUUAUAAAAUUUGGUAAAAAAAAAAUUAUUGCGUUCGUGUUCAGAUUUUCAGGCUCGAAUUU